UACAGAGGUCUCAAGCGUUGUUCGGAUUCAUUGGGCGUAAAGGGUGCGUAGGCGGCGCGGUAAGUCGGGUGUGAAAUCUCGGAGCUUAACUCCGAAACUGCAUUCGAUACUGCCGUGCUUGAGGACUGGAGAGGAGACUGGAAUUUACGGUGUAGCGGUGAAAUGCGUAGAUAUCGUAAGGAAGACCAGUGGCGACGGCGGGUCUCUGGACAGUUCCUGACGCUGAGGCACGAAGGUCAGGGGAGCAAACGGG
rnacentral:rRNA from 1 species